GAUGAACGCUGGCGGCGUGCCUAAUACAUGCGAGUCGAGCGAACAGACGAGGAGCUUGCUCCUCUGACGUUAGCGGCGGACGGGUGAGUAACACGUGGAUAACCUGCCUAUAAGACUGGGAUAACUUCGGGAAACCGGAGCUAAUACCGGAUAAUAUAUUGAACCGCAUGGUUCAAUAGUGAAAGACGGUUUUGCUGUCACUUAUAGAUGGAUCCGCGCCGCAUUAGCUAGUUGGUAAGGUAACGGCUUACCAAGGCAACGAUGCGUAGCCGACCUGAGAGGGUGAUCGGCCACACUGGAACUGAGACACGGUCCAGACUCCUACGGGAGGCAGCAGUAGGGAAUCUUACGCAAUGGGCGAAAGCCUGACGGAGCAACGCCGCGUGAGUGAUGAAGGUCUUCGGAUCGUAAAACUCUGUUAUUAGGGAAGAACAAAUGUGUAAGUAACUAUGCACGUCUUGACGGUACCUAAUCAGAAAGCCACGGCUAACUACGUG
rnacentral:rRNA from 1 species